CACUGUAUCUGACUGUAUGCAGAGCGCUCCAUGGAGCGCGUGGUCGCAAGCACAUGGAAAUGAGGUCGAGAUUUGUGUCUCAAAGACACGCACUUUAUUAAUCGGUAAUGGAAUAUAAAUAAUAUUACAAAAAUGCAACCUGAAUGGAAGGGGAGACAGCCCUGUCAGCAGAGCGCUGAGCCCCCCCCCCCCCCCCCCCCACCCCCUCCAGCCAUCUCCCCUGACUCGCCAUGCCAUCAAAAGGAGGUUGAACCUGGGAGCAGUGCAGCGCAGUGUGGCCUGGUAGUCAUCAGCCUCCUGGAGGAGCUUUGUUAAAGACCCCGCUCAGGGCACCCCUUUGACACAGGGAUCUGUCAAAGACUUGGGCCUGCAUGAAAAGAAUGCAUCUUGGAAGGAACCACUAAGGAUAUUUAGAUUAUAAUGAAUCACAUUUUACUCUGUCACAUUUUAAUCUUACUUCCAGCUAUUAACAUAAUGGCCAAUUUAAUUUGGGACUCUUUCAGGACAGGGUGUUUUGAUUCAGUUAAUCACACACAAACAGGUUGUCGAUGCAGCUUACUAAACUGCCCACUUCUCUAUUUCCUUUCAGUCAUAAUGAAUAUUGAAGAAAGACCCACCCUGAAUGGGGCCCAUGUGGUAGUGUACACUGAUGUGUGGUCGGGAAGUACCUAGUGUUACAACUGUCACGUUGGACAUCCGCAGCUCAGUUAAAGGAGCCGUCUCUUGUAGAGCCUAGAACAGUGUGCAAAGUUACCCAACCCUAAACACAAUACAGCAGACAGUCAGGCUUGAGAAUAGGCCAAGCACAUGAGUAGACAGGGAAAAAAAUGGGAGGGCAUGUUAACCACUUGAUAUACAGUAUGUCCUGAGUCAUGUUUCAGAAAUCAAAAUUAUUCAGUCAGAGGAGCACAUACUGUAUAAGAUGCUGUACUGUAUUGUGUAAGUUUACAUGAAGACCAGAAUCAUCUAUUAAUGUGGACUGAAUAUACAUGUGUGUGUUGUGUAUGUCAAGAGAAUGUAUUAUGUUCUCAUAUGAAUUGAAAUAUGGAAUAGGUUAUGAUUUCCUUUUUUCCUUUGCUCCAUGUCUCUGUAUCUUGAUAUCAGACUGCCAGAAGCUUCCACGUUUAAUCUCCGUGUAAUCAGCUUUCUGUCAAUCCCAUUCUCUGAACCAGGUGCCCGAGUCUGAAUAAAUCACUCAAACGUUUAU